GAUGAACGCUGGCGGCGUGCCUAAUACAUGCAAGUCGAGCGAAUGGAUUGAGAGCUUGCUCUUAUGAAGUUAGCGGCGGACGGGUGAGUAACACGUGGGUAACCUGCCCAUAAGGCUGGGAUAACUUCGGGAAACCGGGGCUAAUACCGGAUAACAUUUUGAACCGCAUGGUUCGAAAUUGAAAGGCGGCUUCGGCUGUCACAUAUGGAUGGACCCGCGUCGCAUUAGCUAGUUGGUGAGGUAACGGCUCACCAAGGCAACGAUGCGUAGCCGACCUGAGAGGGUGAUCGGCCACGCUGGGACUGGGACACGGCCCAGACUCCUACGGGAGGCAGCAGUAGGGAAUCUUCCGCAAUGGACGAAAGUCUGACGGAGCAACGCCGCGUGAGUGAUGAAGGCUUUCGGGUCGUAAAACUCUGUUGUUAGGGAAGAACAAGUGCUAGUUGAAUAAGCUGGCACCUUGACGGUACCUAACCAGAAAGCCACGGCUAACUACGUGCCAGCAGCCGCCGUAA
rnacentral:rRNA from 1 species